rnacentral:lncRNA from 1 species
CAUGCAUUUCUCCGUUCUGGAACGCUUCAAAUAAAGAUCCAUUGCUGCUCUUGUUUUUUUUUUUUAAAUAAAUCUUCACAGCCUCACCUUUCUCUCAUUUUUCUCUCGUUUUCUCUCCGCCCAAACAUCCUUUCCCGUGGUUCUCUUCUUUUUUUAUUUAUUUUAUUUCUUUUAUUUCUUUCUUUUUCUUUCCUUCUCUCUCCGUCUCCAUGGAAAGCCACUCACCUGCUCGAACACUUCUACCAACACUAGUAUAAAG